AUGUACAAAAUUACUCCUAGCGACCAAACAUCUGAAAAGCCGAACAGAAACAGAUUGCACGAAUUUAUUUAAAAAGCCUCCAUCUGGAUAUGGCAAAAAAGAAAAAGGAAAGUGGAAUAAUGGGUUUCUUCAAUCAGAUCAUUAUAUAAAUACAUAAGUUUUAUUGCUGAAGAUGACUUUCAUCUUCCAGUCCCUGUGCACCACGUGCAAUCGAUGGCAAUACGAUAUGGCUCUGACUAUUUGCCGAAAGUACGUUCUGGCCACCUGCGAUCGAUCAAAAGCCUAUCAGUGAACCUUGGACAAAGAGGAAGUAAAAAAUAUAUUAAUGGCGAAUUUUUGUAAAAAGUAGAAGAGGACUCCUUGGGCUCCAUAUUAGGGUGCUCAAAAAUUUUCAAAAACAAUUAAGACUUAAGUAUCUACAUUUAUAAAAAAAUUCUUAACGACAAAUUUAUUGCAGCCUUAUAUUUAUAUGUAUACAUAUUUCAACUAUUUUUAGAUAGGGUCGAAAAUAUUUUUUUCACCUAGAAAAACUCCACUACUGUCUUUUAAACUUUGCUUAAACAAUCGAUUAGUUAAUUUUUCUAGUCUAUUUUUGCAACAUUGAUCGUAUCAAUGGAAGUGGAUCGAUUACCUAACUACUGAAAGAAUUUUCACAAUUGCACUCUACUUAUGAAUUGAAAUACUAUGCAGAAUGCGUAAUAAUGGUUUAUUAGUCAGUGUAUGAUUCAACUUUCGAUCGUUCAAUGAAUAAUGAAGUAAUCUUUCGAACAAGUCGUAAGUGACUAAUGAUUCCGAUCGAUGUUACAAUUGAUAAUAUAGCUAAUGAUACAAUUAACGGUAAAGUGUUAAAGAGGUGUGAACGACAGUAUUAUCCAGAGGCGAAGGACAUUUCAUAAUACCUGAGAAUUCAAUAAACCAAUUAGUAUCUAUCAAUGAGAAUUCAAUAAAUUUUCUGAAUGAUUUUAGAAUAAUUUUCCAGAGGAUUGUUUGUAUAUUUUUAUUAGGAAUAAUUUUAAUAGUGAAAAAAUUGUUAAAAUUUAUGAAAAAUUCUUCACUCGUAUAGAACACUGAAUGCAUUUUUUUACAAUUAAUAUUCGUUUAUGAACAUAUAUUAAAAUUUUUGUUCAAUCUUUUUGAAACGCUCUGUAUAUCAUAUAUAGAAAUACCUCUUCACUGAGGCCGCUAUCGUGCCUCAUGAUGUAAUCGUAGAGGUCACCGCCAUCACCGAGCUCCAGGAUCAGGUAAAGCUUCGUC